GGGGAUGUUCAAUCGUCGAUCGAUCGUUGACAGCCCGUUCGUACCAUGCCGACACGCUCGCACCGUCGUUAAUGUGCGGGAAGUGAUACGUGCCAACACACUGGUCACGCGGCUCCGGACGAUGAUUGCGAAAGCUUUCACCGCUCCUCAGCUCGCUUUCGCCACGGCUUAAAUUCCGUGUGCGCAUCCGCCCGGCCGACUCCGGCUAGACCGAUCGCGGGUGUCACAAUAGCCGGGCCUUUGAUCGCGCGUUCAGAGCGAUCAUUCGGUGCUACCUGAACACUGUGGCCAGGGCUUUUCGCCCACUGUAUACCUGGUUGCAGCCCAAAUCACCGUGGGCUGAGCAUGGGAAUCCGUACGAGCGGCUCGUCCGUCGAGACGCGGGUGAAAGACCCGCCAUCUCCACCA
rnacentral:tmRNA from 1 species